GGAGUCGGACAGGUCGUCGCUGCGGUGCAUGUCGCCGUGGAGGAAAGUCCGGGCUUCGCAGGGCAGGACGCUGGGUAACGCCCAGCAGGAGCGAUCCUGGGAAAGUGCCACAGAAAACAGACCGCCCGCCGGUUUCCGGCAGGUAAGGGUGAAACGGUGGAGUAAGAGACCACCAGCGGGUGCGGUGACGCAUCCGGCUAGGUAAACCCCGUCCGAAGCAAGACCAAAUAGGGAAGUCGGCCGGCCCGGCCAUCAGACUUCCGGGUAGGUUGCUUGAGGCGUGCGGUAACGCCCGCCCCAGAUGAAUGACGACCGCCCCGCAAGGGGAGACAAAACCCGGCUUAUCGUCCGGCUCCACAU
rnacentral:RNase_P_RNA from 2 species